rnacentral:rRNA from 1 species
AGUGAACGCUGGCGGUAGGCCUAACACAUGCAAGUCGAACGGAAGCACAGUAAGAGCUUGCUCCUACGGGUGGCGAGUGGCGGACGGGUGAGGAAUACAUCGGAAUCUACUUUUUCGUGGGUGAUAACGUAGGGAAACUUACGCUAAUACCGCAUACGACCUACGGGUGAAAGCAGGGGAUCUUCGGACCUUGCGCGAUUGAAUGAGCCGAUGUCGGAUUAGCUAGUUGGCGGGGUAAAGGCCCACCAAGGCGACGAUCCGUAGCUGGUCUGAGAGGAUGAUCAGCCACACUGGAACUGAGACACGGUCCAGACUCCUACGGGAGGCAGCAGUAGGGAAUAUUGGGCAAUGGGCGAAAGCCUGAUCGAGCAACACCGCGUGAGUGAAGAAGGUCUUCGGGUUGUAAAGCUCUGUUAUUAGGAAAGAAAAACUGUGUGUGAAUCUAUGCCUGUUUUGACGGUACCUAAUCAGUAAGCACCGGCUAACUUCGUG